GCUUGUCUCAAAGAUUAAGCCAUGCAUGUCUAAGUAUAAAUAUCUAUACUGUGAAACUGCGUAUGGCUCAUUAAAUCAGUUAUAGUUUAUUUGAUGAUACCCCACUACAUGGAUAACCGUAGUAAUUCUAGAGCUAAUACAUGCGUCAAAUCCCGACUUUUUGGAAGGGAUGUAUUUAUUAGAUAAAAAACCAACCCUUCGGGUUUCUUGGUGAUUCAUAAUAACUUAUCGGAGCUCAUGGCCUUGUGCCGGAGCCAGGUCAUUCAAAUUUCUGCCCUAUCAACUUUCGAUGGUAAGGUAUUGGCUUACCAUGGUUACAACGGGUAACGGGGAAUUAGGGUUCGAUUCCGGAGAGGGGGCCUGAGAAAUGGCCACCACUUCCAAGGAAGGCAGCAGG
rnacentral:rRNA from 1 species